rnacentral:rRNA from 1 species
GGGAGACUGCCGUUGACAAAACGGAGGAAGGUGGGGAUGACGUCAAAUCAUCAUGCCCCUUAUGUUCUGGGCUACACACGUGCUACAAUGGCCGGUACAGACGGAGGCGAAGCCGCGAGGCGGAGCAAAUCCGAAAAAGCCGGUCUCAGUUCGGAUUGCAGGCUGCAAUUCGCCUGCAUGAAGUCGGAAUCGCUAGUAAUCGCAGGUCAGCAUACUGCGGUGAAUACGUUCCCGGGCCUU